rnacentral:rRNA from 1 species
CCUACGGGUGGCAGCAGUGAGGAAUAUUGGUCAAUGGACGAGAGUCUGAACCAGCCAAGUAGCGUGAAGGAUGACUGCCCUAUGGGUUGUAAACUUCUUUUAUAUGGGAAUAAAAUGUUCCACGUGUAGGAUUUUGUAUGUACCUUAUGAAUAAGGAUCGGCUAACUCCGUGCCAGCAGCCGCGGUAAUACGGAGGAUCCGAGCGUUAUCCGGAUUUAUUGGGUUUAAAGGGAGCGUAGGUGGAUUGUUAAGUCAGAUGUGAAAUUUUGCGGCUCAACCGUGGAAUUGCAGUUGAUACUGGCAGUCUUGAGGACAGUAGAGGUGGGCGGAAUUCGUGGUGUAGCGGUGAAAUGCUUAGAUAUCACGCAGAACUCCGAUUGCGAAGGCAGCUCACUGGACUACAACUGACACUGAGGCUCGAAAGUGUGGGUAGCAAACAGGAUUAGAUACCCGUGUAGUC